rnacentral:tRNA from 1 species
GGAGAGGUGACUGAGCGGUUGAAAGUACCAGUCUUGAAAACUGGCGAGGAUUCACGUCCUCCGUGGGUUCAAAUCCCACCCUCUCCGCCA